GACGAACGCUGGCGGCGUGCUUAACACAUGCAAGUCGAACGGAACGGCCCUGCUUUUGUGGGGUGCUCGAGUGGCGAACGGGUGAGUAACACGUGAGUAACCUGCCCUUGACUUUGGGAUAACUUCCGGAAACUAGGGCUAAUACCGAAUAGGAACUCCUGCUGCAUGGUGGGGGUUGGAAAGUUUCGGCGGGUGGGGAUGGACGCGCGGCUUAUCAGCUUGUUGGUGGGGUAGUGGCUUACCAAGGCUUUGACGGGUAGCCGGCCUGGGAGGGUGACCGGGCACAUUGGUACUGAGAUACGCAGCAGACGCCUAUGGGAGGCAGUAGUGGGGAAUAUUGCACAAUGGGCGGAAGUCUGAUGCAGCGGCGCCGCGGGUGUGAAGACGGCCUGCUGGGUGUAAACCGCUUUCGCCUGUGACGAAGCGGGAGUGACGGUAAUGGGUAAAGAAGCACCGGCUAACUACGUG
rnacentral:rRNA from 1 species